GAUGAACGCUGGCGGCGUGCUUAACACAUGCAAGUCGAACGGUGAACACGGAGCUUGCUCUGUGGGAUCAGUGGCGAACGGGUGAGUAACACGUGAGCAACCUGCCCCUGACUCUGGGAUAACCUCUGGAAACGGCGUCUAAUACUGGAUAUGUGACGUGACCGCAUGGUGUGCGUUUGGAAAGAUUUUUCGGUUGGGGAUGGGCUCGCGGCCUAUCAGCUUGUUGGUGAGGUAAUGGCUCACCAAGGCGUCGACGGGUAGCCGGCCUGAGAGGGUGACCGGCCACACUGGGACUGAGACACGGCCCAGACUCCUACGGGAGGCAGCAGUGGGGAAUAUUGCACAAUGGGCGCAAGCCUGAUGCAGCAACGCCGCGUGAGGGAUGACGGCCUUCGGGUUGUAAACCUCUUUUGGCAGGGAAGAAGCGAAAGUGACGGUACCUGCAGAAAAAGCGCCGGCUAACUACGUG
rnacentral:rRNA from 1 species